GCUCAGGCCUCAGCUCAGAGACUGUUCAAACACACUUCUAUCCCAGUACAUGGAGGGUUGCAACCUAACCCAUCCCCAUGGCUUCCACUAAGGAUUCUCUGUGACAGGGACAUAGCAAAACCUAGAGGCCUCACUUCUCAGGACAUUUUAAGGCACAGAAAGUUACAUUCAGAUCCAGGGUCUUCAGCUAAUAUAUUGUGAUACUGGGAGCAGAAAUGAGAACCCUGUUCCCCCUGGUUACACUGCUUUGGAAAUUCAAAAUGUAUCUACAUAAACACACGUGAGAUGCAGCUAAGAAGUAGGCAUGAUCUUGGAAUGUGAAGGAAAAUCAUGUAUAUAUGCAUGUAAUUAUACAUAUAAAUGAUGCACAUGUAAUAUGGAAUGUGUGUGUAUGUGUGUGUAUUGAAUAGUUGCCCAAGAGGAUAUAUUCAUGUCCUAAAACACAGAGUCUGUGAAUGUGACUUAUUUGAAAAAUUAGUCUUUGCAGAUGUAACUAAAGAUAUCAGAAUGCUAAGAUCACCCUGGAUUUAGUCUGGACCCUAAAUCAAUGCCAGGUCCUUACAAGAGAAAGGAAAUUUUGAGAAGCAGAGAUAAAGUUGGGAAGUCCCAGGAAAUGGGUGGACAUCACUGUGACACUCCAUACCCCAAGAGCACCAAGGGCCUCCCUAAAGACAACCGUGUUACACUCUGUUCCUGAGAACUCUACAGGCAAAUUUCUGUAAUUUUAAACCACCAUGCUAAAAAGUACCUCAUGGGAAAAGAAUAAAAGGAAGAAAUAACUUCUCCCAGUGAGCAGAGCAUGCUCACUUCAAGCCGUGUUCUCUCAUAUAAUUAUUUAGUCUGACUGUGGAGGACACAAAUUUGCUUAAAAUAUAACUUAGUUUGUCAGAAUCUGUCUGUUUGGGCUGCUAUAACAAAGAAUAAAGGAUUGGUGGCUUAAACAAUUGACAUCUAUUUCUAAUAGUUCUGGAAACUGAGAAAGUCACGGUCAAGAUGAAGGAGUCUGCAGAUUCUCUAUCUGGAGGAGACCCCCUUCCUCAUUCUCAUCUGGUGGAAGCAGAACACUCCGGGCUCUCUCAAAAUGGCACUAAUCCCAUCACAAAGGCUCCCUCUCAGAAUAAUCCUGAUUCCCUCCCAAAGCUCCUGCCUCCCAUUACAAUCACUGGGGCUGAGAGCCAGGCAGGGUUGCAAUGUUUGAAUGUUAAGGGGACACAGACAUUCAGUCCAUCAAAGACCACAACAUCAGAAAAGUAUUUACUAUCAGGCUCACAACAAUAAGCAAAGGUCUUUGUUGAUGGCUGGAGAAUUGCAUCUGAAACACACUGAACCACUUUCAAAGUGCCACUCAAACCAGGACCUCUUCAGAUGAUGGACUUCCUGUUUUGGUCCAAAGGAAGCAUUAACCUCCAAAGGAGUUCCCACCCCGACUAGGAAGGAGUAGAAAUGAUGGUCAAGGGGAAAUUUGGAUUCUCUUGGGGGCCCGAUUAUUGUGACAUGACUCUUUGAGGGUAAGGAUCAAAUGGGAUAAUUCUUUUGAUUCAAUUUAUUGGGAGUUUCUGGUUCAUUUGGUUAAUCAUUUCUUAUUUUUUUGUCUGUUUGGACUUGCCUUUAGAGUCUUCUGCCAUAGAGCUGGUAUAGUAAUGAAGGCCAUUUUGCUUAUCUUGCUUGGGUGGAAGAAGUCAGAAACCACAUGGGAUGCAGGAGAUGGAUGAAUGAUGGAUGAAGUGGAUGUGCAGGUGGGUGGAUGGGUGGGUGGAUGAAUGAGUGGGUGGAUGGAGAGGGUGGAUGGUCGAUGGAUAUAUAGGUGGAGUGGCUGGUUCAGCCUGACCUCUGGCUUUAUGUGGAAACAGCCUCUAUUUUCCCCUUCUCACCUCCAGCAGGAUUGAUCUUUCCAUGGGGCCUUAUGUUCUUAGGCUGUGAGGUCCAGGGAAAGGACAGACAGGCAGAUCCUCCUGCUUCCAGAGCACCGAGUCCAGAGGCACCCGGGAGCGCUCUGGCCUCGUGGGAAAGCGCCCCAGCUCACCAGUCCUCGGGCUCCUCUAUGUACCAGGGCAAGGCUCACACCAAGAGCUCCACUUGCCUCUGCCUUAGUGUCCCCUCAGGGUCCAGGUGGUCCAGACCAGAAUUUAGUGUCCAGUCCCAUUUGUCACAUUCUUAAUCACCUAAUCCCUCAAAAGAUACUAGUAAUGCUAACUCAAAAAUCU
rnacentral:lncRNA from 1 species